CCCAGCCCCGCACGGCCCCGCUCCGCAGCCCCGGUCCCGCAGAGCCCCGGCCGGUCCUACCUUGCAGCUCUCGCAGCUGAUUAGCAGGGUCGGCCCAUGAAGACAGCGAUGUGGAGCACAGACCCAGCAUUCGCCUCCGGGUUCCCCCAGACAUGAGGCAUCUUCUCCAGCACAGUUCCAACCUGCUGGCCCCCCAGCACCCAGCCCGUGGCACUGCUCCCCUCCUACUCAUGGCAGCCUGCAGGGAGGGGAUCCACCACCCCAAUAAAGUGGUGACCAACCCCAUUGGAAGUGUCCACACUUGGCACACUGAGAUGUGAGAGACUUGUGAUGGACCAGACAAUGGAGACCCACCAGUCUGCUGCACUCAGAACUCUGGUUUUCAGGUGUGAACUCCAAAUGGACAGUGACUGGGGAAGGGAUGAGGAGAGGUGUGGGAGCUGUUGGUGCCAGGAUGGGGAGAGCUCAUGGAAUAGACAUGGGCAGGGUGGACAUCAAUGGAGAACCUUCCCCAACUCUGGGAGAGGCCCCACAGGACCAUGCCAGCAGAUCUGUCACCCACUGCUGGACUGACUGUGCCUCUGCAGGGAGCUGACCCAGCUGACCCCACAGCCCUGUCCCAGCCAGUUCCCAUGGGGUGACACACUCCUGGGAACAGCCACUCCUGUCAAGAGGAAAGCAGCUUACCCUUGAAAGUUACUUUGCGAAGGUCAAGAGUGGGACUGUGACAGAGCAGCCUGACAAACACAUCUCCCUAAGUCCUUGGGCCCGAUAAUGUAUGUCCCAUGCAAUGUUGACACUAGUGAUCCACCAAAGAUCAGGUUAACAAGUUUGACGUUAGUGACAGCGUGAUUUGUUCCGCGCUGGCUCUGAAUUCAUAGAGCCGCUGGCCUUCGGUGAUAAACUAUUGCGCCGCGCACACGGGGCUGUGGCAGUUGUCACCCGCCAGAGCACCGAGAUGAAAAGGAAGCAGAGCUCUAAUCAAAAUACAGUGGUCAGUAGGGGUUGAGCUGAAAAUUAAAAGGUGCUGGUACUUUUCCCACUCCAGCCUGGCUUUCCAGGCAGCGCCUCGUGCCAGUGCGGGGUGAGGGGAGAGGCUGCCUUGUCACCUCUGCGUGGCUCCAGAUUCCUUUGAAAGGGAGGACAAACCCACCACCUCACGUGCACAGAGCAUCCUCUGCCACCUCCCAGGGAGCCCCACCACUGCUGAUCUUCGGGGCCCCCUCACCAGGAAUAAAUCCCGUGUGGCACAAUGCCCUUAUCCCAGUUCCCAGCCACAGCAGCAGCCCCAAGGCCUUCCCCACACCCACAGCCCAUUCCAGGAGCGCAGCAGCAGGCAGGGCAGGGCCACAGCCACCACCCAGGGCAGCGCUGGGCUCCCCCACCCUGAGAGAGCCACCACCAACAUGGGAAGGCACAAACAGCCUGGAAACACCAGCAGUGCAGAACAUUUCACAUUUAUUAGUUCAUACAGCUAAACACUCACUAAACAUGCAUUCAACACUUAUUGGUCACAUUUCCACAGGUAGUCAAGUCCCAGAGCAGAGCAGCGGAGCGGGGCAGGCUGGGAGCCGCCGGCAGAAACAUUCAUUUGGUCGUGGCGCGGUGAGGGGGCAGCUGCCGGUGCCCGUUCCCCCGCGGUGACACGGGGCCGGGCACACCCUCCUGCCCCAGCCCGGCUCCGAGUGUGCCAAUGCUCACCGUGUGCCAUGCUGCAGCAACAUCCUGCUUCCCUGAUUUACACAGGGAUUGUGGGAAAAAUGAACGGGAGAAACCAUCACUGGGAACGCCACCAAGAAGGAGCCAACAGCUGGGACUGACCCUCUUGGAAACAUCCCUCACAGCAGCAAGGGGCCGACACAGGCAGCAAACCUGACCCGCUGCCUCCCCGGGCUGCCAGGACGGGCACACGAGGAGCUGCGAGGUCCUGGGAGGUGCCAGGGUACAAAACAGCCUCUGCACCAGGCCUGGGGCUGGAUGGGCACCGCCAAAACCCAAACUGCCAUGAGCCACACGGUCCCCAGGGAGGGACACCGGGCCACGGGACACACAGCAGUGACAGGAGCCAACCCCAGGAAACACAACUCCAGCAAUCACGGCCCCCGUUCCUCGCUGGCAACAGACACUGGCAGUGUUUAGUUUUUCACACAAUCCCUUUGAGAUGAUAAACAGGAUGUCACACGAGGUAGUUUAGUUAUGGAAA